AGGUCAGGCGGGACUACCCGCUGAGUUAA
rnacentral:rRNA from 3 species